rnacentral:tRNA from 1 species
ACCUGGAUGGCUCAGUCGGGUAAGCAUCUGACUUCAGCUCAGGUCAUGGUCUCCCAGUUUGUGGGUUCGAGCCCCACAUUGGGUU